CCUACGGGUGGCAGCAGUGGGGAAUAUUGGACAAUGGGGGAAACCCUUAUCCAGCGACGCCGCGUGAGGGAAGAAGGUUUUCGGAUUGUAAACCUCUGUCAGUGGGGACGAUAAUGACGGUACCCACGGAGGAAGCCACGGCUAACUACGUGCCAGCAGCCGCGGUAAUACGUAGGUGGCAAGCGUUGUCCGGAAUUACUGGGUGUAAAGGGAGCGUAGGCGGGAUGUCAAGUCAGAAGUGAAAAUUAUGGGCUCAACUCAUAACCUGCUUUUGAAACUGAUAUUCUUGAGUGAAGUAGAGGAUAGUGGAAUUCCUAGUGUAGCGGUGGAAUGCGUAGAUAUUAGGAGGAACAUCAGUGGCGAAGGCGACUAUCUGGACAGCAACUGACACUGAGGCACGAAAGCGUGGGGAGCAAACAGGAUUAGAUACCCGAGUAGUC
rnacentral:rRNA from 1 species